UAAGACGUAGGAUGCAAGCGUUGUCCGGAUUUAUUGGGCGUAAAGAGUUCGUAGGCGGUUCGUUAAGUCUGAUGUAAAAGACUGGGGCUCAACCUCGGGACUGCAUUGGAUACUGGCGGACUGGAGUAUGGUAGAGGCAAGUGGAAUUCCCAGUGUAGCGGUGAAAUGCGUAGAUAUUGGGAAGAACACCGGUGGCGCAAGCGACUUGCUGGGCCAUUACUGACGCUGAGGAACGAAAGCUAGGGGAGCGAAUGGGAUUAGAUACCCCAGUAGUCCUAGCCGUAAACGAUGGAUACUAGGCGUAUCGGGUAUCGACCCCUGAUGUGCCGCAGCUAACGCGAUAAGUAUCCCGCCUGAGUAGUACGGCCGCAAGGUUG
rnacentral:rRNA from 1 species